ACGAACGCUGGCGGCGUGCCUAAUACAUGCAAGUAGAACGCACAGUUUAUACCGUAGCUUGCUACACCAUAGACUGUGAGUUGCGAACGGGUGAGUAACGCGUAGGUAACCUGCCUGGUAGCGGGGGAUAACUAUUGGAAACGAUAGCUAAUACCGCAUAAUAUUAAUUAUUGCAUGAUAAUUAAUUGAAAGGUGCAAUUGCACCACUACCAGAUGGACCUGCGUUGUAUUAGCUAGUAGGUGAGGUAACGGCUCACCUAGGCGACGAUACAUAGCCGACCUGAGAGGGUGAUCGGCCACACUGGGACUGAGACACGGCCCAGACUCCUACGGGAGGCAGCAGUAGGGAAUCUUCGGCAAUAGACGAAAGUCUGACCGAGCAACGCCGCGUGAGUGAAGAAGGUUUUCGGAUCGUAAAGCUCUGUUGUAAGAGAAGAACGGGUGUGAGAGCGGAAAGUUCACACUGUGACGGUAUCUUACCAGAAAGGGACGGCUAACUACGUG
rnacentral:rRNA from 1 species